rnacentral:rRNA from 1 species
AUUGAACGCUGGCGGCAGGCCUAACACAUGCAAGUCGAACGGUAGAAGAGAGAGCUUGCUCUCGGGUGACGAGUGGCGGACGGGUGAGUAACGUCUGGGAAACUGCCCGAUGGAGGGGGAUAACUACUGGAAACGGUAGCUAAUACCGCAUAACGUCGCAAGACCAAAGUGGGGGACCUUCGGGCCUCACACCAUCGGAUGUGCCCAGAUGGGAUUAGCUAGUAGGUGGGGUAAUGGCUCACCUAGGCGACGAUCCCUAGCUGGUCUGAGAGGAUGACCAGCCACACUGGAACUGAGACACGGUCCAGACUCCUACGGGAGGCAGCAGUGGGGAAUAUUGCACAAUGGGCGCAAGCCUGAUGCAGCCAUGCCGCGUGUAUGAAGAAGGCCUUCGGGUUGUAAAGUACUUUCAGCGGGGAGGAAGGCGGUGAAGUUAAUAGCUUCACCGAUUGACGUUACCCGCAGAAGAAGCACCGGCUAACUCCGUGCCAGCAGCCGCCGUAA